GAUGAACGCUGGCGGCGUGCUUAACACAUGCAAGUCGAACGGAAAGGCCCAAGCUUGCUUGGGUACUCGAGUGGCGAACGGGUGAGUAACACGUGGGUGAUCUGCCCUGCACUUCGGGAUAAGCCUGGGAAACUGGGUCUAAUACCGGAUAGGACCACUUCUUGGAUGUUGUGGUGGAAAGUUUUUCGGUGUGGGAUGAGCUCGCGGCCUAUCAGCUUGUUGGUGGGGUAAUGGCCUACCAAGGCGUCGACGGGUAGCCGGCCUGAGAGGGUGUACGGCCACAUUGGGACUGAGAUACGGCCCAGACUCCUACGGGAGGCAGCAGUGGGGAAUAUUGCACAAUGGGCGCAAGCCUGAUGCAGCGACGCCGCGUGGGGGAUGACGGCCUUCGGGUUGUAAACUCCUUUCGCGAGGGACGAAGCUUAUUUUGUGACGGUACCUGGAGAAGAAGCACCGGCUAACUACGUG
rnacentral:rRNA from 1 species